AAUCGAAAAUGAGGCUGAACCACCUGGUGUCGGAUUCUCACAGGAAUUGGUAUCCUUAAAAGGCGACGUGGAUAUGGAAGACAAACAAUUGAGAGGAGAGCAGGAAGCACAUACUAGUGCUGCAGGAGCUGCCACCAGUUAUGAUGAUACAAGUCCAUCAACAUCAUCUACUAUGGCCAAUGCCUAAGGACAUAGAUGGCUUAAGUCAGGGAACUGGUGCAGAAGCAACUCCAUCAUCCUCUGAGACAAAACAGCAACUGACUUCCUGUGUGAUCAGCAAUAUGUUAUCUAGUUUUUGGGGGAGGGGACUUUCUCAUUCAUGAUGAGUCACUAGUUUAUUCGUGUGCUGAACAGGUUCAGCCUUGGGGACGUCCAAAGGGGCUGGCCUGAGCUUCCUGUCCACUACCUGUUUGGAAUAUCUAUUGUUCUAAUAAAAGUGAUUUUACCUUUCAUACAUUUAAUCAUAACUAUUUGUUGCAAUGUCCUACAACUUAAUAACAAGUAUCAAAUGAAUCUACACAUUAAUCUGC